rnacentral:misc_RNA from 1 species
UUUUUUUUCUUUUUUUUUUUGGAAAGGAAAAAAAGGAAAUGGCAGAAACGAAGGGAGGUUGGGUCAGGGUAAACAUUAAGGAUAUUUUCUAAUUCUACUCCACUAAAUUACAUCAUGCAGGGGCUGAUAUGUUGAUCUUUUCUUUACUGUAAUAAACGACAUUAACAUAUUUUUUUUAAAUAAUGCAAGCAUGAUAAAAAUUAAAUUAUGAUUCUCCAUGGCUGGUAAGACAAAUUAAUAAAAUACGGUUAAGAGUUCUUUAUGAAAUCUUGAAAAUGUAACGUUUUCUUUAAAUUUAUAAAAGAGAAAACAGUUGAGCUGUUUGGCUUCUAAACUAGAGAUGAUUCAUCUAAAGGGGAAAAAAAAACUUUACAUUUAAGCUCCUUUUGUUUCAAAAAUAACAACUUAUCUUUGAAAGCAUCAAAAAUAUUAAACUACUUUUCAUUUUUUGUUUGUAACACUAAAAUUAAUUGGAAUUUAGUCUGUGGCAUUUGGAUUGCACUGGAAAAUAUGUAAUUUCCUAGAUGCGGAAGACCUUGAACUUUUGAAUCUAUGAAAACUCUACGUUUGGAAUCUUAGAUUUAGGACAAUGUACAAAAAAAGCACAACAGUUGGAGACCUAUGAUUCAAUUUUUGACAAAACAAUAUUCUAUGCUUUACUCUGCUAGCACAAUAAGGACAUGCUAUUUCGUCAUCAAUCAUGCUGAUGUGGUGCUGCGAGUCUAAUAAAAAAAUAUUUUUUAAUAUGCUUGGAUCCCACAGAUAAUAUGAAAUUUUUAAAAAAAUAAAAUUUUGAAUUAACAAUUUUUUAAAUAAAAUAAAAAAAAAAUCAUUUUAUUGAUUGCACGAUGAGAUAACACGUGUCCUUAAAGUUCCAAGGAUAUAAAGAUUAAUAUAUCAUUUUGUUAAAAAUUGAACCACAUGCCUUAGAAGUGUCAAAGCACAAACUCAAGGGUUUUUUCGUACUUUCCCCCUUAGUUUUUUAUCUACUUGAAUAGUAAAGAAUGCUACACAAGGAACUGAGAAAACAGGGUAGGUGGCAACGUCCACUGCAAUUGGACAUGAACAGCACAGUACUGCGUUGUACCAAGUGAUGCGUGCAUGCAAAGUGUCUCUUGUGAAUUUCUUGAAAAAUGGCUUAGGUUUUCUUUGCCUAGGAUGGAGUUUCUAUCGACUAAAUCACAUGUAUAUGACAAAAAUUAGAAAAAGAAAAGAUGUUAUAGGGGAAAAUAUUUCCCACGGGUCAAAUGAAGCCUAAAUAGCAUACAACUAAGAAAGAUUAAAAGGGCAAGAGCUAUCUCAGGAAGAUAUCCAUGCACUGAUUGCAUAGAGCCACACAUGGAGAAAUGCUGAAUGGAAUAAGAAAAUUCCAAUUUUCUGAGAGACGAGGAAAAUGAAAAUUCAGAAAAAGGUACAAACAAGAUAGAUUCAAUGAAAUAUCUCAAACUUGCCUCCACAGCCAUUGGCCUUCAAAGAACAAUGACAGAUGGAAAUUAAUGUAAAUGCCAAAAAAUUCAUCACUUUGCAGAAUGCACCAUGUAUCAAUCAACAUGAGCCUUAAUUAUGGUUAGUUAGCAAUAUAGAGUUGUAUUUGAUUACUUUAGCUAAAAUAAUUGCUACAUUGGGCUGUGACCUUGGACUACUUGAAAUGAACUUUCUUAAAUUUCAUCACUAUUUCUUAAUUUUCAAGAAGAGAAUUUAACGUCUAAAAGAAAAACAUUCAUCUGAUUAUAUAGGACUUCUUUGUUAUCCAUCAUGUUUUUGGUUUUUUUUGUCCGACUCCGACAUUCAAAAAAUUUUAUAUUAGAACAUUUUUGUUUUUAUUACUUGUUGUCUUUAUAAGAAAAAGGAAAGGUUGCUACAAGGAUAAACCACAAAAUGGUACUAACUUGUUUCAUCAACUCAUUUUUCAAGAUGCAAUUUCUUAGCACUGGAUGGGCAACUAAAAACCAAAAACAUGGAUACAAAAUAGCUCUUAACAACUCUCAAUAGGCAAACACACAAAUUUUAUAUGUUCCUUUCUUCUCCCACAAUAGUCCUUUAUUUGCAAGUUGGGAUCUGUGCUACCAGAAAACACUGCACUCCCUAAUGAUUUGCAUUCUGGAAUGUGCGAUCCAGAUUAUGGAUCAUUAUAGAUUUGGAACAUUAAAAUUAGGUUCCCAAAAUGCAAACAACUAUUAUUAGAGAAUCAAACAAUCUGAGUCACACAAAUCUCAGACAAUGUUGGUGUGAUCAUUAUUAUGCUGUAAAUUUUGGGAUUUCAUACAUUUUAUGGCAUUGAAUUAGUUAAGAUAGAAAUUUUAAUUUAGAGUAAUUUUUUAUGAAUUUUUAAUUGAGUAAUUUUUUUAUAGGAUUUUGUAGAAAAUUUUUCAGGUAAUUCUUAUUUCAAUAUAUUUUGUUCCCACUCAGCAAUUUGAAGGAAACACAUUUCUAGACAAAGACAUUUUAUGUUCCUGUUUUCAUUCCACAUACCAAAGCAACCCAAGGUCUAGGUAAUUUACAUGGGAAGAUAAGUGCCAGAAAGAAUACAAGGCAUGAGUGCACAGUAACUGGAAGAACAUAAAAUCUUAAGUGUUGAUUCUUAAGUUUCUUUGGAUAGGGUAGAAGAUUCAGGAAGAAAAACAAGAUAAGCCACACUAGAUAAAUCUCCUUCCCCUCCAAUUAAAUGCUAAGUCACUAACUAGAUAUGGUCAUGAUCAUACAGCACAAGACUCCAUCUUUUGUGCUAUAAGUCAAUGACCACAUGUUCCAUGUGUGUGCAUGUCUGCAUGAUACAUCAAUGUGAAGAUAUUCAAAACUUAUAUCUGAUAAAACAGGAGACAAGAAAAGAAACGAGGAAAUCCACUUACCUUUGCACGAAGGCAAGAAGUGAUUGGUGCCAUAUUACAGGCAUUAUUCUUGUGUCUUCGAGAAAUCUCAUAAAAUGAGAAACAACAGCAUCAAGUACACGAUAUGGCAAGGCAUAUUUCUUUUCCAAAAGAAGCUUGAUAAAAUAACUUGUUGUGCCACAAUACUCCAUCUCCGCAAGCUUCAAUAGUGCAGCACUUGAAUGAAGCAUGGGAAUGGAAACCUUUUGAAUAAUACUUCCAACAAUAACGGCCUCCCGAAGAUUGCAUGUCCCUGACUUACAUAGUGGAAACAAUAUUCCCUUGUUGAAUGCAGCAGGUUUGUAAAGAGAUUUUUUCAAAGCUUGAUACAGAGCAAAAUGCAGCCUCUUGUUCUGUUUAAUAUCGUCUCUGAUUCGAGGAAGCAAUACAAGCCUAUAGAAAUUCUCUGCCUUCUUCACACCCAAAUUGGAAGCAAAGAUCCUUGUUGCUUGAUACAUUGCAUUUGGUGACCAACUCUCAGGUUUAGUCAAGUACAAAACAUCCUCCCAAAGUUGCAUUGAAGGGAUAUGCUUAAAUGCUUUAGGCAUUUUUCCAGCUGUAUAUCUACUUAGAAACUCGCCAAGCCCCUUGUACAAAUCUAUGAGAGAUGCAUCCAAUUUUGGCAUGGGUUGUGUUUCUGAAGAAAUAUUAGCAUUCUCCUGUUUAAUUUUUUCAAUGAUGAGGUCUGCAAGUGUACGCUGAGGACCAGCUUCCUUUGAUAAGAAAGCCUCCAGUAAUUUCUCCUCAUCCUCAUCAAUCUCCUCGUCACCAAACUGGGUUUGAGUCUCAGAGAAUCCACUAAAAUCAUCAACAUCAUCCUCCUCUUCUUGUUGAUGCCUAGCAGCUUCUUCCUCUGCCACAACAAAGGCAUUGGUAGUAGGAUUAGCCUGCUCAGCCUCCUCUUGAAUCUCCUUUUGCUGAAUCAGCGCCUCUUUCAAAAUUUUCGAGCUUAUCCCCGAAGAUAUCAUCGUUUCUUGCUUUUGGUGGUGUUUUGCUGCUUUGGAUCGUUUCCUAGUAGAGGCAAUGGAGUCAUUAUCUUCUGGGAUAAAGGGCUUGGGGUUUUGGUGUCUACCUCGCUUCUUGUCCAUUUAGACGCCUAAAAGACUGCAGUGAAGAGCGGCGAGCUUGAGGUUGAAGGUCGUUUGUGUAGAGGCGAAAGCCGAGACUGAGAUGAGAGAGAGGUUG